GGGCCCGCACAAGCGGUGGAGCAUGUGGUUCAAUUCGACGCAACGCGAAGAACCUUACCUGGGCUCGAACGGCUUCGGACGAUCCGUGGAAACAUGGGUUUUCCCGCAAGGGAUCGGAGUCGAGGUGCUGCAUGGCUGUCGUCAGCUCGUGUCGUGAGAUGUUGGGUUAAGUCCCGCAACGAGCGCAACCCUUGCCCUGUGUUGCCAUGCCGAAAGGCGGAACUCGCAGGGGACCGCUACCGAUAAGGUGGAGGAAGGUGGGGAUGACGUCAAGUCAUCAUGGCCUUUAUGUCCAGGGCUACACACGUGCUACAAUGGACGGUACAAUGCGCUGCGAUGCCGCAAGGCGGAGCUAAUCGCUAAAAACCGUUCUCAGUUCGGAUUGCAGGCUGCAACUCGCCUGCAUGAAGCUGGAAUCGCUAGUAAUGGCGCAUCAGAACGGCGCCGUGAAUACGUUCCCGGGCCUU
rnacentral:rRNA from 1 species